UACCAGCACCCCGAGUGGUCGGGACGUUUAUUGGGCCUAAAGCAUCCGUAGCCGGUUCUACAAGUCUUCCGUUAAAUCCACCUGCUUAACAGAUGGGCUGCGGAAGAUACUAUAGAGCUAGGAGGCGGGAGAGGCAAGCGGUACUCAGUGGGUAGGGGUAAAAUCCGUUGAUCCAUUGAGGACCACCAGUGGCGAAGGCGGCUUGCCAGAAUGCGCUCGACGGUGAGGGAUGAAAGCUGGGGGAGCAAACCGG
rnacentral:rRNA from 1 species